rnacentral:rRNA from 1 species
GCUGGCGGCACGCCUAACACAUGCAAGUCGAGCGGUAACAGGUGUAGUAGCAAUACUACAUGCUGACGAGCGGCGGACGGGUGAGUAACACGUAGGAACCUGCCCAGAAGUGGGGGAUAACUAAUGGAAACGUUAGCUAAUACCGCAUACAUUCGGGAGAAGAAAGCUGCAGCAAUGUAGCGCUUUUGGAGGGGCCUGCGUCCGAUUAGCCAGUUGGUGAGGUAAUAGCUUACCAAGGCGAUGAUCGGUAACUGGUCUGAGAGGACGACCAGUCACACUGGGACUGAGACACGGCCCAGACUCCUACGGGAGGCAGCAGUGGGGAAUCUUGGACAAUGGGGGCAACCCUGAUCCAGCGAUGCCGCGUGAGUGAAGAAGGCCUUCGGGUCGUAAAGCUCUUUAGGCUGGGAAGAAGGG